GCAUUGAUGGUGUAGCGGUAACAUUGGGUCUUCCCAUGAGAAGUUAAUAUUUCCUCUAACAGGACAAUUCUUAUGUGGCCUAGCUCCGGGUUCGACUCCCGGUCAAUGCA